rnacentral:lncRNA from 1 species
AAUCCACCUAGACUCUCUUCCUUCCCCUUCCAUCUGCACGAGCCCAACGUCCGCCCGUCCUUCAGCCAUCGCCACCGGCGGAGUCGGAGUUGCCGGCGCCGCAUCAAUCCGGUUUGGCCGUCUCCUCCGCCUGCUACCUCAAUUCCAAAUCCGGCAUCGAGGGCUAGAUUUGGUCAUGAGAGAAGCCAUGGGUGAAGCUAAUAUCUCUCCUUCCACCACUCAACAGAGAUUCCAUGGAUUGGAACCGUUGGCCAUGGCUCCGGAUCUGGAGUCCUGGCCGCAAGCCCGUUGCUUUGCGUCUGCAAAUCUGCAACUCAAGCGCUAGGACAGCAGAGAGGGUGGACGCGGAGGUCGGUUGUCGCUCAUGGCCAUGGCUUCAGAUAUGGAGUCUCGGCCGCGAGCCCAUUGCUCUGCAUCUCCAAUCUGCCGCCGGGACGACGGAGAGGGUGAAUGCGGAGGUCGUCGUCGCUCACGGCCAUGGACGCGAAGCCCACUAGUCUGCGUCUCCUAAUCUGCCGCCGAGACGCCGAGACAACAGAGAGGGUGUGCGUUCAGUUCUAUGGACUAGAGGCCGCCCAUGGCCGACCGCUGCUCUGUAUCUUCAUAUCUGUGGACGAGCGCUCGCGGCCAAGGCUUAGCCACCUGAACGACAGAGGGUGGACGCAGAGAUCUGCCUGGACGUGACGAUACCAUCGCCCAACAGCUUUGAUCUGGUUUGCUGCUCAACGGCUUUGAGCUCAAGUCUUGGCUCGUCCAUGGCUGCCGGCGACGAGCUCAACAGCUUUGCCGCAAACCGUGAUGGCCACGGUGGGGCUGUGGCUUAAGGGCGGCGGCUUGGGC